rnacentral:rRNA from 1 species
GGCGGCAUGCCUUACACAUGCAAGUCGAACGGCAGCGGGGGAAAGCUUGCUUUCCUGCCGGCGAGUGGCGAACGGGUGAGUAAUACAUCGGAACGUGCCCUGUAGUGGGGGAUAACUAGUCGAAAGAUUAGCUAAUACCGCAUACGACCUGAGGGUGAAAGUGGGGGACCGCAAGGCCUCAUGCUAUAGGAGCGGCCGAUGUCUGAUUAGCUAGUUGGUGGGGUAAAGGCCUACCAAGGCGACGAUCAGUAGCUGGUCUGAGAGGACGAUCAGCCACACUGGGACUGAGACACGGCCCAGACUCCUACGGGAGGCAGCAGUGGGGAAUUUUGGACAAUGGGGGCAACCCUGAUCCAGCAAUGCCGCGUGUGUGAAGAAGGCCUUCGGGUUGUAAAGCACUUUUGUCCGGAAAGAAAUCGCACUGGUUAAUACCUGGUGUGGAUGACGGUACCGGAAGAAUAAGGACCGGCUAACUACGUGCCAGCAGCCGCGGUA